UACAGAGGUCCCAAGCGUUGUUCGGAUUCACUGGGCGUAAAGGGUGCGUAGGUGGCUGAGUAAGUCUGAUGUGAAAUCUCCGGGCCCAACCCGGAAAUGGCAUUAGAAACUACUCGGCUUGAGGCUUGGAGGGGGAACUGGAAUUCUCGGUGUAGCAGUGAAAUGCGUAGAGAUCGAGAGGAACACCAGUGGCGAAGGCGAGUUCCUGGACAAGUCCUGACACUGAGGCACGAAAGCCAGGGGAGCAAACAGG
rnacentral:rRNA from 1 species